UGGGGAAUUUUGGACAAUGGGGGAAACCCUGAUCCAGCCAUCCCGCGUGUGCGAUGAAGGCCUUCGGGUUGUAAAGCACUUUUGGCAGGAAAGAAACGUCGUGGGUUAAUACCCCGUGAAACUGUCGGUACCUGCAGAAUAAGCACCGGCUAACUACGUGCCAGCAGCCGCGGUAAUACGUGGGGUGCAAGCGUUAAUCGGAAUUACUGGGCGUAAAGCGUGCGCAGGCGGUUCGGAAAGAAAGAUGUGAAAUCCCAGAGCUCAACUUUGGAACUGCAUUUUUCACUACCGGGCGAGAGUGGGUCAGGGGGAGGUGGAAUUCCGCGUGGAGCAGUGAAAUGCGUAGAUAUGCGGGGGAACACCGAGGGCGAAGGCAGCCUCCUGGGAUAACACUGACGCUCAUGCACGAAAGCGUGGGGAGCAAACAGG
rnacentral:rRNA from 1 species